rnacentral:rRNA from 1 species
CCUACGGGAGGCAGCAGUGAGGAAUAUUGGUCAAUGGGCGCGAGCCUGAACCAGCCAAGUAGCGUGAAGGAUGACUGCCCUACGGGUUGUAAACUUCUUUUAUAGAGGAAUAAAGUGAGGCACGUGUGCCUUUUUGUAUGUACUUUAUGAAUAAGGAUCGGCUAACUCCGUGCCAGCAGCCGCGGUAAUACGGAGGAUCCGAGCGUUAUCCGGAUUUAUUGGGUUUAAAGGGAGCGUAGAUGGGUUGUUAAGUCAGUUGUGAAAGUUUGCGGCUCAACCGUAAAAUUGCAAUUUAUACUGGCAGCCUUGAGUACAGUUGAGGUAGGCGGAAUUCGUGUUGUAGCGGUGAAAUGCUUAGAUAUCACGAAGAACUCCGAUUGCGAAGGCAGCUUACUAAACUGCCCCUGACAUUGAUGCUCGAAAGUGUGGGUCUCAAACAGGAUUAGAUACCCGUGUAGUC